GGAAGUUGAGCAAGAGGAUUCCUGAAGUGUCUAUUAAAACCCAGACUAUUUGGUUGUCCACUUUGGCAUGUAGUGGAUUAUCUGUACAUUUUUGCCUAGAGAUCACUUAAUUUGUGGCAUAGAAAAACUAUGUAUUCAAGAGAUCUCUUGAAAUAACUUGGAUUUGGUGGGGGAUGAGGAGGGGUUUCUAAGACAUGUAAUGCAGUGGAAAGACCUACGCCUAGGUUCAAAUCCCAUUGUUUCCCACUAACCAGAGCUUCCUUAAUAAGUUGGGGUUAAUUCAUUUCUCCUAGUAUUAUUGUAAGAAUUACACUGAUUUUAUUUAACAAAUUUUUAUGAGGUGCCUGUGGUGUACUAGGCACUGACCUUGCUACUGUGGAUAUAAUAAUAAUAAACAAGACAUAUAAAAGUCACUGCUCCAUAAGGUGAUCUACCCUUGACCUUGCCCUUUUGUUUCCUCCGUCUUCCUUUUUUUAGAGGGGAAGAAGGUCAUGUGGGAAUCAGUUAAGUCAUUUGUGGGUAGAAGACAAGCACCAGCUUUGCAGGAAACCCUCCAGCCUCCUCCAGGUACACCCUGACGAUCUCAGAACUGAUCAGGUAAAGCCAGCUCUGAGAUAGACCCUUCUGUGGCCUGUCGGGAGAGCAGAGCAAGAAGAGCAGAAUCCAGGCAAACCUGUUAUCUGGACUGGCAGGAAUGGGAAGAAGCAUUUCCAGAUCCCAGCUGAACAACCAAACCAUCACCUAUGUUCAAAGGGCUUCCUAUUGAAUGCAUUUGAAAAUGAUUUGCAAACUUUAAACAAUGUCUUUAGUUUAAAAGCACUAAAUAUUUUUUAAAAAGUCAGUAGAUUCUCCUUUAGCACCUCCUCACCCUCACCAUUCUUUUCUUUCUCAGCACAAUGGCAUUACUGUUCUAAGCACUCAAUAGUAUUCAAUAUCUUAGUAUUCAAUAUCAAUAGUAUUCAAUAUCAAUUCACACUUUUAAGAAAAUCUUAGACAAAAGAAAAAAGUUUAUUUGUAAGGUGAGUUAACCUUUGUUUUUAAAAAAUGGGUUGGGUCAUAUAUAAACCUUACAAAAGGUUAAUGCAUAGCACACAAAUAUAGUUCAAUUUCCUUUUUAUGUGAUUAAAGAAACUUAUCUACAGAGUUGUCUAUGACAUCUACAAAGGAGGUGAUGAUAAGGAUAAUACAGCUCAUGCUGUUCAAUGGUUCCUUAAAUUAAAGAACAUGGGAUACAUUAGUGUGAUUUCUUUUUCCUCUUUCAAGUUCUGUAUUUACCACUCCAUGCCCUCCAGGUUAGCUGACUUUAGAGCUCUGGAAUAAGGACUAGUUGAAUUUGCUGCAAUAUUUUAAUAUGCCUAGCACAGGGGCCAAAGGAAAACUUCCCUUCCAUUCUCUAAAGGUUCACUGAAAAUCAGCUGGCAAUAGGCAGAUUAGUAGGGAAAAUGGCAUACCAAUUACUAGUAUCCACGAGAGGGAAUCACAGAGUGAUUGCCUCAUACCCCGUGGGGUAGAGAUGUUUAUAUACCCUGCAUCUUGAGGGAAGGGGAAAUGGAGACAUUUAGGUGAUUUUAUAUGGGGCAGGAAACAAUUUUUAGGGGAAUUCACUAGGUGUGAAGAACAUACAAUAGCCUGGGACAAAGUCUGUUGGGCCUGCAGAGUGGACAAUGGUUUGUGACAGAGCCUGUCCAGGAGUGUUGACAGAUUUCAGUCUUCCUUCCUGUGAUAGGAGAUGAGUUAAUGGAAACUCAGGGAAGAAACUAAGAGUUUUUGUUCCAUGUGAGAUACCCAUGCCACUUUAAAAAACAAACUAUCGUGAUGUCUAAUUACUUUGUGAAUGAUUUUAAUAGCAAUAACAAUGGAGAUGGAAGAAUUUUUGAAGCAGUACUAGUUCCAGAGCUUUCAUGUAAGAUGCCAAGGUUUUGGCAUCCUCAGAUUGGCAGUGAUAUUGGAUAACUUCUAAGGUC